rnacentral:rRNA from 1 species
AUUGAACGCUGGCGGCAGGCCUAACACAUGCAAGUCGAACGAGUGGCGGACGGGUGAGUAAUGUCUGGGAAACUGCCCGCUGGAGGGGGAUAACUACUGGAAACGGUAGCUAAUACCGCAUACCAUCGGAUGUGCCCAGUUGGGAUUAGCUAGUAGGUGGGGUAACGGCUCACCUAGGCGACGAUCCCUAGCUGGUCUGAGAGGAUGACCCGCCACACUGGGACUGAGACACGGCCCAGACGCGUACGGGAGGCAGCAGUGGGGAAUAUUGCACAAUGGGCGAAAGCCUGAUGCAGCCAUGCCGCGUGUAUGAAGAAGGCCUGCGGGUUGUAAAGUACUUUAAGCGAGGAGGCGGUACUCGCAGAAGAAGCACCGGCUAACUCCGUGCCAGCAGCCGCGGUAAUUC